rnacentral:rRNA from 1 species
CGGUAAACAGAGGGAAGCGAAACAGCGAUGUCAAGCAAAGCCCAAAAACAACGCCUCAGUUCGGAUUGCAGCCUGCAACUCGGCUGCAUGAAGCCGGAAUCGCUAGUAAUCGCGGAUCAGAAUGCCGCGGUGAAUACGUUCCCGGGUCUUGUACACACCGCCCGUCACACCAUGGGAGUCGGAAAUGCCCGAAGUCGGUGACCUAACGAAAGAAGGAGCCGCCGAAGGCAGGUCCGGUAACUGGGGUGAAGUCGUAACAAGGUAUC